GUCAGUGAUGCUAUUGAGUCCU
rnacentral:siRNA from 1 species